UCACUAGGAAGCUAAAAAGGUAUAGCAUCAGCCUUUUAAGCUGAAGUUUGGUGAUUCCGCCCCACCUCUAGUGAA
rnacentral:tRNA from 1 species